AAGCGUUGUGAGGCCGUGCAGGAGCCGAUUUUUUACACCGUGUUUUUAUUGCGGCUCUUCCUGACAAUUUGGUAGAAGCUGUGCAGAGUAAAAAGAGGUUGAGUACAGUGAGAUACGGGUUGGAAUUUGGUCUCUUCCUUCUUGACGGACCACAUAACGUUUUCGGCUUCUACUUUCGCUCUGCUUGCUGACCUGGAUUUCGGAUUUGCCCCACGGAUCAAAACUACCAACUCGAUUUUGACCCGGACCUUGACCACGGCUCUUCUUCAUCACCACACCACAACAACCACUGCCACUGAGUCUCUUCAAUUACUUGGGUCACUUGGGUCCAACCUCUUGUCUUCUUGCAUCCUCUGAUUAUUACAGUUUGGAGCAAGGCCCAGCCCGAAAAAGGUACCUACAGCACCUUCCUGUGUGAAUAUAUCACAAUUAUGUCGUCGGAGUCCAAACUGAAGAACGAGCCACAAAAAGCCGAAGAAUGGGCGUGGGGGAAACGCGUCGUGAGCAAGAUUCUGGAAGCGGUCCACCAUCAGUGUGAAGCCAGUCAAAGUGUGGAAUGUCCCCAGAGCACACAGGCUUGCCUCUCUCUGAGCCACAGCUGCGAAGCUGUUCUGAAGAAUCACUCUGAAUGUGCAUGAACUUUCCCUUCCAUAUUAAAAACAUCUUCACUGGGUGCCUCCCAAACUCAGCCGGCUUUGCUUGUCAUC